CAGCAGCCACGGUAAUACGGAGGGAGCUAGCGUUGUUCGGAAUUACUGGGCGUAAAGCGCACGUAGGCGGCUAUUCAAGUCAGGGGUGAAAGCCCGGGGCUCAACCCCGGAACUGCCUUUGAAACUAGAUAGCUUGAAUCUUGGAGAGGCGAGUGGAAUUCCGAGUGUAGAGGUGAAAUUCGUAGAUAUUCGGAAGAACACCAGUGGCGAAGGCGACUCGCUGGACAAGUAUUGACGCUGAGGUGCGAAAGCGUGGGGAGCAAACAGGAUUAGAUACCCGUGUAGUCCCUGUCUCUUAUAC
rnacentral:rRNA from 1 species